rnacentral:lncRNA from 1 species
GCUGCCUCCUUCCUUACCCUGGGGAGCGUUCGGGCUCGCGCGAGCCGACCACGGCUUCUCUCCCCCUUCCCCUCCCGCCCCUCUCCUAGCUUAGUCCAGGCACUCCCCGCCUCACUGACCCCGGAAAAGGAAAAGAGAAGGCCCCCCCUCAACCCCCCCACUCCUCAAGCUCCGACCCCACUGCGGCCCGGAAGGAGUCCGCGAGGGACUCGGCUGAGGUUUCCAACUCAGAUGUCUGUACUGACUUGAUGUCCUAAGACUGAAGAAGGCUGCAGCUUUGAAGUCUAAUGUCUGAUAUAUUUGAAAUAGUCUUAAUUUUGUGGGGGAAAGGGCUACUAUCAAGGUUAUUGAUGAAAAUACCAGCACUUACCUUUCUGGUAAGAAAUGUAGGUGCCUUACUGCUUCUUCUGUUUUGCAUGUGAAUGUAAUGUAAAAUUUGCAUGUAAGGAAGAAAACUUCGAAACGAUUCAUUUUAUUUUCCAGUCUGAGUCAGAGUGGAUUUGUGAUCUAGGGUUUUCUUUUUCUUUUCUGGUUUUAAAUAGUUAUAGGAAAGCUCAUCUCUUCAAAGUA